UGACCUGAGAGUUGUAAGCUAAAAUAAAUCCUUUCCUGUCUGAGUUGUUUUUGGUCAUGGUGUUUAUCACAGCAAUAGAAACUCUAAUUAAGACAAUGGCCUUAUAAAAUGCCAUUAUAAAUAAAAUAUGCAUGGUCUCUUUCAACUCCCAUGCCAAAUUCUAGGGGGAGAGGCUAUGAUUAGCUUAGUUUAGCUUAAGCCAGGAGCCCGUUUUUGGUCACAAUAUCUGGGAUUGAGGGACAAGGUUAUUAGGUCCAACCAUGAUUGGAUGGGAGCAAUCUUUAGAGAAGUCUGUAUAUGACUGGGAGGAAAAAAAAAAUCUUCUAAUUGACUGACUGAGGAAAAAAAAAAUCUUCUAAUUGACUGAUUCCAACGGAGAGAAAGUUGGAGAGUUUGGGAGUGAAAACAGAUGUUUAAAGUGUGGAUGGAGUUUUAGUUAGUGCUAGGUGAGAGGUAAAAGUGGUGAGAAGAAUGUGGCUUGAGCAGAAGGUGUGAUAGUAGGUUAAGCCACCAAAGAGCUGAAGCACGUGUGAAUGACUUGACUCUGAGGGAAAGCAGUCCAGCAGAACGUGUGUGAAGCAGGAGCAAAUAGGACAUUCAGAGACUCAGUGCGCGUGUGCCAGUCUCCGUAUUGAAACUUGGGUUGUUUUGUAGGAUGCUCUGGAGCGCACAGAGGGCAUACACUGCUUGGGGAGGUGGCACAUGGUCCUUCUCUUGCAUGUACCUGAGAGAAAAGGCAUGUUCCUGAGAAGAGAAUGACGACAGAACCGGGGCUUUGCAGUGACAUGGAAAGCUAAGUCAGCAAAGGACAUGACCUUGGCAGUAAAGCUGUGGUUUUCACUCUUUAGAUCCGCAGCCGUCAGAGAGGAUGAAGUCUAGUGGCCUCCUUCGGAAGCAUGAGAAGGGCAAAGCUCAGCUGUGCUGUGAACUAUUAAAACAAAAAGAAGAAGAAGAAAAGCAAGAACCAGUAUCAAAGAGACCUUGAAUUCCUCCCAGCCUGUGGCUGACCAGCUAUGUUCUGCAAGUCCGUCUGUCUUCUUGUCCUGCGGCAGUGUGUCUAUCCUGUGCCAGGAAUGACUGACAGACUUCACACAGACACCAUAUCUAAUUUUCACAAUAACUGAGUGAAGUAGAGACCUUCAUCACCACCCUCAAGAUAGAGAGUUCACUGGAAAUCCAGUCUGCCUGUGGCAUAUAUGCUUCGGCUUUUGCUCCUAACAAUGCUUCUUGAAUUCCUUCUCUGUGCACUUAUUAGUUUACAUUCUUGAGAGAGAAUCUAAAUGACUCAACAGAUGUUUUCUGAACAUCAGUGGGUAGCCGUUCCAGCUCUGACCUGGAAGUACCACCCCCAUUGAGGCUUCGGUAACUGUCAUGCCUACAAGGCGGAGCUGAGAGAGGACCCCUGAAGACCCGAGACCUGGAUGGUCAGGUUCUCUUGGUUCUUGGUUCCUGGAUCAUGGACGCUGAGGUAGACCGAGCAGAGUUCUCCAGAGAACACCGCUGGACUGUGCUUCACCUUUCCCAGACCCUGUUACCUAUCCCUUCACUUGUGAGUUACCCCACAAAA